UGAGGAAUAUUCCACAAUGGGGGAAACCCUGAUGGAGCGAUGCCGCGUGCAGGAAGACGCUUUUCGGAGUGUAAACUGCUUUUAAUAGGGAAGAUUAUGACGGUACCUAUAGAAAAAGGACCGGCUAACUACGUGCCAGCAGCCGCGGUAAUACGUAGGGUCCAAGCGUUAUUCGGAAUUACUGGGCGUAAAGCGUACGUAGGCGGUUUGGUAAGUUGGAUGUGAAAUCCCCCUGCUCAACGGGGUGGACUGUGUCCAAAACUACCUAACUAGAGCAUAGUAGAGGCAAGUGGAAUUUGCGGUGUAGGAGUGACAUCCGUAGAUAUCGCAAGGAACACCAAUGGCGAAGGCAGCUUGCUGGGCUAUUGCUGACGCUCAGGUACGAAAGCGUGGGGAGCGA
rnacentral:rRNA from 1 species